rnacentral:rRNA from 1 species
AACGAACGCUGGCGGCAGGCCUAACACAUGCAAGUCGAGCGCCCUUUCGGGGGAGCGGCGGACGGGUGAGUAACGCGUGGGAAUAUGCCCUUCUCUACGGAAUAGCCUCGGGAAACUGAGAGUAAUACCGUAUACGCCCUGUGGGGGAAAGAUUUAUCGGGGAAGGAUUAGCGCGCGUUGGAUUAGGUAGUUGGUGGGGUAAUGGCCUACCAAGCCGACGAUCCAUAGCUGGUUUGAGAGGAUGAUCAGCCACACUGGGACUGAGACACGGCCCAGACUCCUACGGGAGGCAGCAGUGGGGAAUCUUAGACAAUGGGGGCAACCCUGAUCUAGCCAUGCCGCGUGAAUGAUGAAGGCCUUAGGGUUGUAAAGCUCUUUCAGCUGGGAAGAUAAUGACGGUACCAGCAGAAGAAGCCCCGGCUAACUCCGUG